GCCCCUGUGGUGGAAUUGGUAGACGCGCCGGAUUCAAAAUCCGGUACCGAGAGGUGUGUCGGUUCGAGUCCGACCGGGGGCA
rfam:Asticcacaulis sp. YBE204 contig00019, whole genome shotgun sequence.